AUUUGGGUUUAUAAUGAAUAUGUGGAUUGUUCUUUUGAGCAGAUAUUGUAUAUUUAUUUCUCAGAUUCUGUAAUACAUUAUAUUAUGUUACAGCCAUCUACUACACUGGUUUUGCAGUUCUAUAGAGUAUAAUGUAGAUGUGUCUGAUGUUUUGAAGGAAAAACAACAACAUUAUUCUUAUGUGUUACUAUUGAUAUGUUUGAAGAAUAUACACACAUCCAGCCAUUUCAUCACUUUAUUUUUCCUUUAACGAAAGAAAUGUAUUAUUUGCACAAUAAUGUAUCUGCUACAUAAUGUUAAAUAUGUAUACAAGUGAGUUACGUCAUCCUCAUUUGCGGAUAGACGCUGGCGAGGAAAGACGCACUUAUUUUCUCUCGCUCUUCCUACUUAAUGUUGUGUGUGAUGUGGGAAGAGGUUGGCGCAACGAAAAAUAUUGAUCAAAUUGUCCCAUAUGUUUCCAGGUAUGUUCAGUUCUUCAAUUUAACCAGCAUAACGUGAUCUAAUUUUUGUAAUUUGGGUUUAUAAUGAAUAUGUGGAUUGUUCUUUUGAGCAGAUAUUGUAUAUUUAUUUCUCAGAUUCUGUAAUACAUUAUAUUAUGUUACAGCCAUCUACUACACUGGUUUUGCAGUUCUAUAGAGUAUAAUGUAGAUGUGUCUGAUGUUUUGAAGGAAAAACAACAACAUUAUUCUUAUGUGUUACUAUUGAUAUGUUUGAAGAAUAUACACACAUCCAGCCAUUUCAUCACUUUAUUUUUCCUUUAACGAAAGAAAUGUAUUAUUUGCACAAUAAUGUAUCUGCUACAUAAUGUUAAAUAUGUAUACAAGUGAGUUACGUCAUCCUCAG
ensembl:lncRNA